UAUUUGUUUCUAUGCUCUAAACAAUGUGAUGACAUGGGGGGAAAAAAUAAAAUAAAUAAAUGUUUUUAUUUUCCGGGUCUAGGAGGAUAUAGCGUGUAAUGACAGACAUUUAGUGUGUAAGAGCAUGUUUAUGUAACCCUUCUAUUAUGUUUUGAGUCAAUUUGACCCCAGGCUGUUUUAGCUUUAUAAAACAUUAUCCUAUGGUCUUUUGAUUUCAAAUGCAGUUAAAUUGCAAUUUCAGGGGCACUUCUAAAAUAUUUUGGAGCAUCCUCUGACACUGGUCAGGAUGAGCCAACCACCUCCUCCGCUACACAUAUGUCUCCACAAAUAUCUGAUAUUGAGGAUGAAGACCUCUUUGCCUCUACUUCUACCCAGCAUGAGCUUUCAGAAAUGCCUGGAGCUGAACCCCCACUGAGCCCCACUGGCCUCACAUCUGACUCACAGGAUUCGGACUGAGCUGGUUCACAGAGGACCAAGUAAAGUGCCACCUGGCUUUGUUUUCCGUAGGAAUGAGAGUAAUGGGAGAAGUUGCCACCAUUAAUAUUUUAAGAAGACAUUAGUAAGUGGUGAAAAGAUGGCAAGAAGUUGGCUGAUUUAUUCAAUUAAGAACAACAGCCUCUUUUGCUUCUGCUGCAAAUUGUUUUCCAAGAGGAACAUCAAUUUAACAAGUGCAGGAAUGGCAAAUUGGAAACAUGCAUGCAAUGAUAUCACAUCAUAUGAAAACAGUUGUUAUAAUAAAAUAUUGCUGUUUGUGCAGAA